rnacentral:rRNA from 1 species
GAUGAACGCUAGCGGCAGGCCUAACACAUGCAAGUCGCGGGGCAGCACGGGUAGCAAUACCUGGUGGCGACCGGCGGACGGGUGAGUAACGCGUAUGCAACCUGCCCCCAUCAGGGGAAUAGCCCGCCGAAAGGCGGAUUAAUGCCCCAUAGGCCCAGGGCGCCGCAUGGCGCUAUGGGUAAAGCUCCGGCGGAUGGGGAUGGGCAUGCGUGCCAUUAGCUAGUUGGGGCGGUAACGGCGCACCAAGGCGACGAUGGCUAGGGGGUCUGAGAGGAGAAUCCCCCACACUGGUACUGAGACACGGACCAGACUCCUACGGGAGGCAGCAGUAAGGAAUAUUGGUCAAUGGAGGGAACUCUGAACCAGCCAUGCCGCGUGCAGGAUGACUGCCCUAUGGGUUGUAAACUGCUUUUGUCAGGGAAUAAACCUUUCUACGUGUAGGAAGCUGAAUGUACCUGAAGAAUAAGGAUCGGCUAACUCCGUGCCAGCAGCCGCGGUAAUACGGAGGAUCCGAGCGUUAUCCGGAUUUAUUGGGUUUAAAGGGUGCGUAGGCGGCUUAUUAAGUCAGGGGUGAAAUACGGCAGCUCAACUGUCGCAGUGCCUUUGAUACUGAUAAGCUUGAAUGUGGUUGAAGAUGGCGGAAUGAGACAAGUAGCGGUGAAAUGCAUAGAUAUGUCUCAGAACUCCGAUUGCGAAGGCAGCUAUCUAAGCCAUUAUUGACGCUGAUGCACGAAAGCGUGGGGAUCAAACAGGAUUAGAUACCCUGGUAGUCCACGCCCUAAACGAUGAUAACUCGAUGUUAGCGAUACACAGUUAGCGUCUUAGCGAAAGCGUUAAGUUAUCCACCUGGGGAGUACGCCCGCAAGGGUGAAACUCAAAGGAAUUGACGGGGGCCCGCACAAGCGGAGGAGCAUGUGGUUUAAUUCGAUGAUACGCGAGGAACCUUACCCGGGCUUGAAAGUUAGUGAAUGAUCCAGAGACGGAUCAGUCCUUCGGGACACGAAACUAGGUGCUGCAUGGCUGUCGUCAGCUCGUGCCGUGAGGUGUUGGGUUAAGUCCCGCAACGAGCGCAACCCCUAUGUUUAGUUGCCAGCAUGUAAUGAUGGGGACUCUAAACAGACUGCCUGCGUAAGCAGUGAGGAAGGUGGGGACGACGUCAAGUCAUCAUGGCCCUUACGUCCGGGGCUACACACGUGCUACAAUGGAUGGUACAGCGGGCAGCUACACAGCAAUGUGAUGCCAAUCUCGAAAAGCCAUUCACAGUUCGGAUCGGGGUCUGCAACUCGACCCCGUGAAGUUGGAUUCGCUAGUAAUCGCGUAUCAGCAAUGACGCGGUGAAUACGUUCCCGGGCCUUGUACACACCGCCCGUCACACCAUCCGAGUUGGGGGCACCCGAAGCCGCCGGCCGAACCCGCAAGGGGCGGAGGCGUCGAAGGUGCGUCUGGUAAGGAGGGUG